AUUGAACGAUGGCGGCAGGCCUAACACAUGCAAGUCGAGCGAGCGGCGGACGGGUGAGUAAUGUAUGGGGACUGCCCGAUAGAGGGGGAUAACUACUGGAAACGGUAGCUAAUACCGCAUACUAUCGUAUAACCCAUAUGGGAUUAGCUAGUAGGUGAGGUAAUGGCUCACCUAGGCGACGAUCCCUAGCUGUUCUGGGAGGAUGAUCAGCCACACUGGGAGGGAUAAACGGCCCAAUAACCGACGGAGGUAGCAAUGGGGAAUAUUGAACAAGAGGAGGAAGCCUCAUGCAGCCAGUCGGCGUGUAUGAAGAAGGCGCUAGGGUUGUAAAGUACUUUCAGGCGGGAGACAUUAAAAACAGAAGAAGCACCGGCUAACUCCGUGUCAGCAGCCGCGGUAAUAG
rnacentral:rRNA from 1 species